GUUAACGUAGCUUAACUAAAGCAUAACACUGAAGAUGUUAAGAUAAUCCCUAGAAAGGUUCGUAAACA
rnacentral:tRNA from 1 species